CAUUUUCAAUAAAAAAUCUCUAAUAGUUUUCGAUAUAUUGGAAAAAAUCACUUCAUCUUGUAACUUCAAAUGAAUGAUAAAGGCACAGAGACUUAGAUGGCGAGGUCACAUUGAAAGGAUGCCAAACACGAGGACUCCAAAAAGGGUACUAAACUACACUAUAGCUUCAAGAAAGAGAAGAGGAAGGCCGAAAAAUAGAUGGAAGCAAGAGGUCGAAAAAGAUUUGGAAAGAAUGGUGCUACAGGGUCAGAAAAGAAAAAUGAAUAACAGGAAGGAAUGGAGAAAAAUCACAUAUCAAGCCAGAGAAGAUCUCAGUACAUAAAGAAACGUGAAAAUGAAGAAAAAAAAA
rnacentral:lncRNA from 1 species